GACGAACGCUGGCGGCGUGCUUAACACAUGCAAGUCGAACGGAAAGGCCCUGCUUUUGUGGGGUGCUCGAGUGGCGAACGUGUGUGUAACACGUGUGUAACCUGCCCUUGUCUUUGGGAUAACUUCAGGAAACUUGGGCUAAUACCGGAUAGGAGCUCCUGCUGCAUGGUGGGGGUUGGAAAGUUUCGGCGGUUGGGGAUGGACUCGCGGCUUAUCAGCUUUUUGGUGGAGUAGUGGCUUACCAAGGCUUUGACGGGUAGCCGGCCUGAGAGGGUGACCGGCCACAUUGGGACUGAGAUACGGCCCAGACUGCUACGGGGGGCAGCAGUGGAGAAUAUUGCACAAUGGGCGGAAGCCUGAUGCAGCAACGCCGCGUGCGGGAUGACGGCCUUCGGGUUGUAAACCGCUUUCGCCUGUGACGAAGCGUGAGUGACGGUAAUGGGUAAAGAAGCACCGGCUAACUACGUG
rnacentral:rRNA from 1 species